rnacentral:rRNA from 1 species
ACGGGAGGCAGCAGUGGGGGAUAUUGGACAAUGGGGGCAACCCUGAUCCAGCGACGCCGCGUGAGUGAAGAAGUAUUUCGGUAUGUAAAGCUCUAUCAGCAGGGAAGAAAAAAUCAAAAUUGACUGUACCUGACUAAGAAGCCCCGGCUAACUACGUGCCAGCAGCCGCGGUAAUACGUAGGGGGCAAGCGUUAUCCGGAAUUACUGGGUGUAAAGGGAGCGUAGACGGAUGUGCAAGUCUGAUGUGAAAGGCUGCGGCUUAACUGCAGGACUGCAUUGGAAACUGUACAUCUGGAGUGCCGGAGAGGUAAGCGGAAUUCCUAGUGUAGCGGUGAAAUGCGUAGAUAUUAGGAGGAACACCAGUGGCGAAGGCGGCUUACUGGACGGUAACUGACGUUGAGGCUCGAAAGCGUGGGGAGCAAACAGGAUUAGAUACCCUGGUA